rnacentral:rRNA from 1 species
GUUGGAAAUGGUAAAAAGAUUAGGUUCUGGGAGGACCAGUGGUUUGGCCAGACUAGCCUGUCCAUAAUUUUCUGGGAUAUAUACUUUGUGUGUAAUGAAAAGGGAGCAACAAUUAGCUAGGUGUGGGAUGGUAAUAAGAGGGUGCUUGGAUACGUUUUAGUCCCAUGA